rnacentral:piRNA from 1 species
UGAAUGCCAUUUAAAUUAGAUUUUUUUCUUG